GGUCUGAGAGGAUGAUCAGCCACACUGGAACUGAGACACGGUCCAGACUCCUACGGGAGGCAGCAGUGGGGAAUAUUGCACAAUGGGCGAAAGCCUGAUGCAGCCAUGCCGCGUGUAUGAAGAAGGCCUUCGGGUUGUAAAGUACUUUCAGUUGUGAGGAAGGGGGUGUCGUUAAUAGCGGCAUCUCUUGACGUUAGCAACAGAAGAAGCACCGGCUAACUCCGUGCCAGCAGCCGCGGUAAUACGGAGGGUGCGAGCGUUAAUCGGAAUUACUGGGCGUAAAGCGCAUGCAGGUGGUUCAUUAAGUCAGAUGUGAAAGCCCGGGGCUCAACCUCGGAACUGCAUUUGAAACUGGUGAACUAGAGUACUGUAGAGGGGGGUAGAAUUUCAGGUGUAGCGGUGAAAUGCGUAGAGAUCUGAAGGAAUACCAGUGGCGAAGGCGGCCCCCUGGACAGAUACUGACACUCAGAUGCGAAAGCG
rnacentral:rRNA from 1 species